rnacentral:misc_RNA from 1 species
AUCAAGAUGUUCGACGCCCUCUCCAAGGACGGCCUCACCAACCAAGCCAUGGAACUGUUCGCCGUUAUCAAGGAUAAGGGCACCAUGCCCGACGUCGUCGCCCACACCGCCGUCCUCGAGGCGUAUGCUAACGCCGGCGGGCAUUCGCGGGAGGCGGUGAAGACGUUCGAUCGGAUGCUUGCGUCGGGUGUGGCGCCAAAUGUGUAUA